CUAAUGGACUUCCCUCAAUCAGAAGAAGUAGAAUCAACAGAUGAAGAAGUGAUUACAACUUUGCAUCCUAACCAAUUCAUCCCACAAGCACAUGAUGAAUUAAAAUGAAACUUGAGAAGGAAUUCAUUUCAAAGAAUGCUGCACAUGGAUUAUAUAGUGCAUAUGUAAGAAUUUGCAGGUUUAGCAUACAAAAAAGUUAAUGUUGAAAGUCUCAAAAACUAGUGAACUGCUAAUGAGGAUUUUGAAAUGUUCGAAAGAAGAGAUACCUUGUAAGUGCAAUUUGGAAAGAACAGAUAUGAGGAAGAGACCAGGAAUGAUAACAAGAUGUGAAUGCCUGAUAAAGAUUGUUGUCAAUAAAAAGAAGAGUGUAGAUACAUAUGCUCUAAUCAAGUUUGUAGAAAAACAUAGUGACAAGUUAAUAACUCCAACAAAUCUCAUUGUCUAAGAUUGCAUAGAAGCAUCAAAUUCUCAAUUGAAUGUGAUUGAAAAAAUGAAUGUUUAAUCCAAAUGGCAUUACUACCCAUUAUUGACAAAAUGGCUUGAACUACACCCAUUGGGCUUUUUGAAUGACUAGUAAUGCCAUCUGGACUGAAAAAAAGUUCCCUGUCCCAAUUCCAAAGGCAAAUGGAUGAAAAUUUCAAAUCAUUUCAUCACCAAUUAUAUUGAUGACUUCAUGAUAUUUUCAGAAUCUGUGCAAGAGCAUCUCCAGCAUUUAAAUAAAUUUGGUGACUGGUCCAGAAUCAUCAGCACAUAGGGCCAGUUCCAACUCUUCCAUUUGUUCCUGAGUUGUGGUUACAUAAGCUACUUUUGGGGGUCAUUCACCAUCAAUGGCCAUUGUUGUUCUAGGCCUUCCUCUAUAGUGAUUUGUGCAUAUCAUACAAAAUGAUGGGUUUAGUAACAAAGCUUUUUUAAUAUGUUGCUUGCGGAUAAGACUAGCCAGCAUGUCACAGGUAUUUCUUUGUGAGAGCCAUCCAUCAGAUAGAUCCACCAAGCAUGUUUCUUGGCCUCACUAAAUUGAUUGGCAUUCAUGUAUGGAGAAGAUGGACAGUUAAAAAAUGUUGAGCAGCAGUUCACCUUGAAAUUACAAGUGAGCAGUAGUUCACCUAUCCCAUAUAUUUAGUUCAGCUCAAAGAUUUUGCAUUCUCAACAGUUACUGUGUAAUUUUCAUAUAUUUAAUGUUGAUUCUAAAAAUUCUAUUUUGCUUGUGGAUUUAAUGAUGAUGCAGUCAUCUGAAUUUUGAAUUUUUCUUUUAUUGGAACUAAUGAAUUUGAUGACUAAAUUACAGAGAAUAUCACAGGUCUAAGCAAAGCAAAACUGUUGUUGUUGCAUUUGUACUCAAUGAUCUUGGUAAUUCUUAUGGAAUGUUUGAAUCCAUCUAAAAUGAAAGUUUCUAUAUAAGGUCUUUUUCAAUGCUACUAUAGUGCUUGAAAAGUCGUUGUUCUUGGUUUUGUUAAUGUGUUAACUGAAAUACUUGGAAUGACUGAAGUUGUUUCCACAAAAUCCAAAGCAAUGAUAAAAUCUCUUGAAAAAUUUUUAGGUAGACACUGUUUUUUUCUUGGCAGGUCUUGGGCCUAUCACAUCUAUUGCAGGAUGGUGAAUGAUACCAUCCAUAAAUGUGGAUAGAAUAAGAUGCCUGACGCCAAGACACAAAAUUCAAGAUCCACAUGCUUGGACCUUGGCCUCAAAUCUAAGCAUUUUUCAUUGUAGUAGUCACAUGCAGGAAUGACCUUACUACAACAGAACUGAGCAUAAUGAUUUUCUGGAUCCUUUGUCAUUUGCUUCACUCAACUUGGCUGGUCUAAUCGAGAAAAGAAAGCUGAGAUAUCACAGGAAAUGGGAAGAUAAAAACCAUCCCGAUCAACUUGAAUAGAUCUGCCUAUGAAUUCAAUAAAAGCAUCCCCGAACUUGGAACUAAGAAAGAAAGAUGAUCAUUUGCUUGCAUUGGAGAUUCUCUGAGGCUUUUAGACUGCUUACAUUUGUUAUCAUCUCACCUUUAGGGCACGCUUCAGUGGGUAUUGGUCAUGGUACCACCGUUAGCUUACAAUGAUACUGGGCAGAUGUGGGACCCACAGCAUCCCAUGGUUAUCAUCUCUCUCUUCAAGGCAUAUGUUUUCUUUUUUAUUUUUAUCUAAAACAUGAUUGUUGAUUUCUCUUUUCAGGUAGGUUGCACAAUCCGAGACUUCUUCUUCUGCAGCUUCUUCUUCUACAACUGCUUCUUCUUCUUCUAUUACUGCUGCUGCUUCUUAACCGUUUGAAAUAUACACACAUAUAUGAAUUUUUCUUUCUUAACCUUUUAAUAAAACCCAUAAAAGAUCUCUCCAAUUUUUUCUUUUUUCCUUCUAUUAUAA